AUAAGUGCAUUCUCCUUUGCGCAAACUGCCACCGAGAAAUCCACUCUGAGUUGCAGCCUCCACGGGAAACCGUGGUUGAAACUUCGGGUGAAUUCAGGGAAGCCGUCCCCGCUCAUGCGGAACGGGAAUCCUGAGCGAAGCCUGCCGAACGGUCCAUCACCGUGAUGGUGUACGCAGGAACGUGCAGAGACUAGAGGCUGAGGAACCGAUCCAAUAACGCCUCAUCAGCGCCCGACACCCUCCCCUGAUAUUUAGGCGGGUGAAGAGAUAGUCCAAGCCCAGUCGAAAGAUUGGG
rnacentral:ncRNA from 1 species